UACGUAGGGUGCAAGCGUUGUCCGGAAUUAUUGGGCGUAAAGAGCUUGUAGGCGGUUUGCCGCGUCUGCUGUGAAAUUUCGGGGCUCAACCCCGAACUUGCAGUGGGUACGGGCAGACUAGAGUGUGGUAGGGGAGACUGGAAUUCCUGGUGUAGCGGUGAAAUGCGCAGAUAUCAGGAGGAACACCGAUGGCGAAGGCAGGUCUCUGGGCCACUACUGACGCUGAGAAGCGAAAGCAUGGGGAGCGAACAGG
rnacentral:rRNA from 1 species